CUACGGGUGGCUGCAGUGAGGAAUUUUGCGCAAUGGGGGAAACCCUGACGCAGCAACGCCGCGUGAGUGAAGAAGGCCCUUGGGUCGUAAAGCUCUGUCAAUGGGGAAGAAGCUACUUGGUAUUAAUAGUGCCUUGUAUUGACGGUACCCAUGAAGGAAGCACCGGCUAACUCCGUGCCAGCAGCCGCGGUAAUACGGGGGGUGCAAGCGUUAUUCGGAAUUAUUGGGCGUAAAGGGCACGCAGGCGGUCCUGUCAGUCAGAUGUGAAAGCCCGGGGCUCAACCCCGGACGUGCAUUUGAAACAGCAGGACUGGAGUACGGGAGAGGAAAGGGGAAUUCCUGGUGUAGAGGUGAAAUUCGUAGAUAUCAGGAGGAACACCGGUGGCGAAGGCGCCUUUCUGGACCGAUACUGACGCUGAGGUGCGAAGGCGUGGGUAGCGAACGGGAUUAGAUACCCGGGUAGUC
rnacentral:rRNA from 1 species